GUUAAGCGACUAAGCGUACACGGUGGAUGCCCUGGCAGUCAGAGGCGAUGAAGGACGUGCUAAUCUGCGAUAAGCGUCGGUAAGGUGAUAUGAACCGUUAUAACCGGCGAUUUCCGAAUGGGGAAACCCAGUGUGUUUCGACACACUAUCAUUAACUGAAUCCAUAGGUUAAUGAGGCGAACCGGGGGAACUGAAACAUCUAAGUACCCCGAGGAAAAGAAAUCAACCGAGAUUCCCCCAGUAGCGGCGAGCGAACGGGGAGCAGCCCAGAGCCUGAAUCAGUGUGUGUGUUAGUGGAAGCGUCUGGAAAGGCGCGCGAUACAGGGUGACAGCCCCGUACACAAAAAUGCACAUGCUGUGAGCUCGAUGAGUAGGGCGGGACACGUGGUAUCCUGUCUGAAUAUGGGGGGACCAUCCUCCAAGGCUAAAUACUCCUGACUGACCGAUAGUGAACCAGUACCGUGAGGGAAAGGCGAAAAGAACCCCGGCGAGGGGAGUGAAAAAGAACCUGAAACCGUGUACGUACAAGCAGUGGGAGCACGCUUAGGCGUGUGACUGCGUACCUUUUGUAUAAUGGGUCAGCGACUUAUAUUCUGUAGCAAGGUUAACCGAAUAGGGGAGCCGAAGGGAAACCGAGUCUUAACUGGGCGUUAAGUUGCAGGGUAUAGACCCGAAACCCGGUGAUCUAGCCAUGGGCAGGUUGAAGGUUGGGUAACACUAACUGGAGGACCGAACCGACUAAUGUUGAAAAAUUAGCGGAUGACUUGUGGCUGGGGGUGAAAGGCCAAUCAAACCGGGAGAUAGCUGGUUCUCCCCGAAAGCU
rnacentral:rRNA from 1 species